GGCUCCCACGGUUCUCGCUCGGCUUCAUAUCCGGACUAGCCGUCGCACACGGCUGUCGUAUCCCCAAGCUCUGCACUCUGGCGCCGCCUCCUCUAGCCCUGCCCGCUUGUGCCGACGGCCCGGCGCCACCUCCCGCAACUCCACACGGCGGUAACCCCAACUCUAUCCGCUAACAUCUCAGCACGAUCCUAACCAACUGUGAUCGCUGCUGCUGCGGCUUGAUCAGAGCGCGUUCUCUGGUGACAUACCUCUGGAGAUUGGGCGGCUGCAGCAGCUCUAAGGCUGACCUUAACAGCAGCAAGUUUGAGGACAACUACAGUUAGCCAAUAUGUUUUCUGUCUAUGUCCUCGCGAAGUACUAGAGCAGUAGCUACAUACCGUGGUUUGUCCAUAUCCUGUUGUUAGAUGAUCAAGGGUGAUUAGAUACAUGUUCUGGAACCAAUGUUCAGAUGACAAAUUGCAAACUAAACACCCUUUUGUUCUCUAUCUUUUUUUUUUUGCAAUUGCAAUGCGUGUAAAGUACAUUAUCAAUGUCAGCCCCAGGCAUAUCAAUCGUCCUCAUGCCCGGC